AUUGAACGCUGGCGGCAUGCCUUACACAUGCAAGUCGAACGGUAACGGGCCUUCGGGUGCCGACGAGUGGCGAACGGGUGAGUAAUACAUCUGAACGUGCCCGAUCGUGGGGGAUAACGAGGCGAAAGCUUUGCUAAUACCGCAUACGAUCUACGGAUGAAAGCAGGGGACCGCAAGGCCUUGCGCGGACGGAGCGACCGAUGGCAGAUUAGGUAGUUGGUGGGAUAAAAGCUUACCAAGCCGACGAUCUGUAGCUGGUCUGAGAGGAUGAUCAGCCACACUGGGACGGAGACACGGCCCAGACUCCUACGGGAGGCAGCAGUGGGGAAUUUUGGACAAUGGGCGCAAGCCUGAUCCAGCCAUGCCGCGUGCAGGAUGAAGGCCUUCGGGUUGUAAACUGCUUUUGUACGGAACGAAAAGCCUUCUUUUAAUACAGGAGGGUCAUGACGGUACCGUAAGAAUAAGCACCGGCUAACUACGUG
rnacentral:rRNA from 1 species